rnacentral:miRNA from 1 species
CCUUCUCUUCCCCCUCGGCCAG